rnacentral:lncRNA from 1 species
GCGGCGCAGGUGCAGGUGCAGGUGCAGGGACCUCGGGGCUCGGCCGCUUCCUGUGGCCCCGCGCACCCCCACCCCGCCGCAGUGCGCAGGUGCGAAGGUGCCCGCGGAGGUCCACGGGCUGGGGGCGGGGGGCUCCAGGCCUCGCCCUCGCCGCCGACCCGCAGGUGCCGGAGCGCAGCCGGGUCAGGCCCCAGGCGGGCCCUGCACCCCCCAGGAGGGCCCGGCUCAGCGGGCGGGGCUCCCCGAGAGGCCGCGGUUGCCUGCCGGGCUCCCGAGGGUCUUCCCCGCGGCGCAUCCCCUCCCGCGGCAGCUGAAAGGUGGACUGCUGUCUUCUGAGGACAUUGUGUAUGAUUUCUUUCCCCUCUUUUAAGUCUACCAUCUACUGAGAAAUCACUUUUAUUGGGAAUCCAAACAACUGGAAUUUAUUUCAUGCUCUAUGAUUUUAUGAGAAGCAACUGAAAAUAAACAGGCUGAUACCAUGACUGUAUUCAUAAAAGGAACUUAGAGACUAUGGUCAGUACAAAACCUAUAUCAAUGAUCCUACUUUCGGCAACAAAAUACUGGAUGUGUAUGAAACAAACACAUGCAUAUUUUUUUAAACACAUGCAUAUUAAAGAUGC